GUGCUGUCAGCCAUUUUCUCUGAGCCUUCCGGGAAAGGGAACCUGAAUUCUGUGACUCUAAAGACAAGCACUUCACUGGCUGGGCCAUCUCCUUGCCCCUUACUUAUUGAGAAUAUCAACAUCAACACCCAGAGCAUAAUCCUGUGAGGACGCCGUGAGAGGCCUGAGCUCACAUGGUAUUCACUCAAUUCAUGAACAAGUCUAUGACGGGUGGAAGGUUCCAGAGUGAGAGAUUUCCCAGUCUUGCCCUUGAAAGUAAACUGGUGAGUGAUCCUGAAA
rnacentral:lncRNA from 1 species